rnacentral:tRNA from 1 species
GGAGAGAUGUCCGAGUGGUUGAAGGAGCACGCCUGGAAAGUGUGUAUGCGGUGUUAAAUUGCAUCAUGGGUUCGAAUCCCAUUUUCUCCG